rnacentral:rRNA from 1 species
GAUGAACGCUGGCGGCGUGCCUAAUACAUGCAAGUCGAGCGAACAGACGAGGAGCUUGCUCCUCUGACGUUAGCGGCGGACGGGUGAGUAACACGUGGAUAACCUACCUAUAAGACUGGGAUAACUUCGGGAAACCGGAGCUAAUACCGGAUAAUAUAUUGAACCGCAGGGUUCAAUAGUGAAAGACGGUUUUGCUGUCACUUAUAGAUGGAUCCGCGCCGCAUUAGCUAGUUGGUAAGGUAACGGUGUACCAAGGCAACGAUGCGUAGCCGACCUGAGAGGGUGAUCGGCCACACUGGAACUGAGACACGGUCCAGACUCCUACGGGAGGCAGCAGUAGGGAAUCUUCCGCAAUGGGCGAAAGCCUGACGGAGCAACGCCGCGUGAGUGAUGAAGGUCUUCGGAUCGUAAAACUCUGUUAUUAGGGAAGAACAAAUGUGUAAGUAACUAUGCACGUCUUGACGGUACCUAAUCAGAAAGCCACGGCUAACUACGUG